AGGUCAUGUCACCAGCAAGAAGCC
rnacentral:siRNA from 1 species